rnacentral:rRNA from 1 species
AGUGAACGCUGGCGGCAGGCCUAAUACAUGCAAGUCGAACGGCAGCACGGCAGAGCUUGCUCUGUGGGUGGCGAGUGGCGGACGGGUGAGGAAUACAUGGGAAUCUGCCCAGUCGUGGGGAUAACGUAGGGAAACUUACGCUAAUACCGCAUGCGCCCUUCGGGGAAAGCCGGGGACCUUCGGGCCUGGCGCGAUUGGAUGAGCCCAUGUCGGAUUAGCUAGUUGGCGGGGUAAUGGCCCACCAAGGCGACGAUCCGUAGCUGGUCUGAGAGGAUGAUCAGCCACACUGGAACUGAGACACGGUCCAGACUCCUACGGGAGGCAGCAGUAGGGAAUAUUGGACAAUGGGCGCAAGCCUGAUCCAGCCAUGCCGCGUGAGUGAAGAAGGCCCCUCGGGUUGUAAAGCUCUUUUGUCCGGAAAGAAAAGCGCCGGGUUAAUACCCUGGUGUCCUGACGGUACCGGAAGAAUAAGCACCGGCUAACUUCGUGCCAGCAGCCGCGGUAAU